CACGUAGGGCGCGAGCGUUGUCCGGAUUUAUUGGGCGUAAAGAGCUCGUAGGCGGCUUGUCGCGUCGAAUGUGAAAUCUCAGGGCUCAACUCUGACAUUGCAUUCGAUACGGGCAGGCUAGAGUUCGGUAGGGGAGACUGGAAUUCCUGGUGUAGCGGUGAAAUGCGCAGAUAUCAGGAGGAACACCGAUGGCGAAGGCAGGUCUCUGGGCCGAUACUGACGCUGAGGAGCGAAAGCGUGGGGAGCGAACAGG
rnacentral:rRNA from 1 species